rnacentral:rRNA from 1 species
GUGGGGAAUAUUGGGCAAUGGGCGAAAGCCUGACCCAGCAACGCCGCGUGAAGGAAGAAGGCCUUCGGGUUGUAAACUUCUUUUAAGAGGGACGAAGAAGUGACGGUACCUCUUGAAUAAGCCACGGCUAACUACGUGCCAGCAGCCGCGGUAAUACGUAGGUGGCGAGCGUUAUCCGGAUUUACUGGGUGUAAAGGGCGCGUAGGCGGGAAUGCAAGUCAGAUGUGAAAUCCAAGGGCUCAACCCUUGAACUGCAUUUGAAACUGUAUUUCUUGAGUGUCGGAGAGGUUGACGGAAUUCCUAGUGUAGCGGUGAAAUGCGUAGAUAUUAGGAGGAACACCAGUGGCGAAGGCGGUCAACUGGACGAUAACUGACGCUGAGGCGCGAAAGCGUGGGGAGCAAACAGGA